UAAUUAAGCAGAGGAAAAGAAACUAACCAGGAUUGGUCCAGUAACGGCGAGUGAAGGGCCAAAUGUCCAGCCUGAGAAUCAUCACUCGUGAUGAAUUGUGGUAUGGAGGUCAAUUGUUUAGCUUGUUGGCCAAGUCCCCUGGAAUGGGGCAGCAUAGAGGGUGAGACUCCCGUUUGCCAGCCGGCAGAAAAUUUGACCAGCGAGUCGGGUUGUUUGGGAUUGCAGCUCUAAGCGGGUGGUAAAUUCCAUCCAAGACUAAAUAUGGGUGAGGGACUAAUAGUGUACAAGUACCGUGAGGGAAAGAUGCAAAGCCGCGCGAAAGCGCUGUCAAAGAGUACCUGAAAUUGCUGAAAUGGAAGCAAAGGAAACUAGUGCAGGCCACCCUGCAUUUCCCCAUUUGCUUGCAAAUGGGGCGCUGCAGAUGGCUGUGUUUCAAUCACUGCGCCGCAGAGGAAGAUACUGGCACUGCGAUACAGUGGUUGCGACAAAAUGGUUUCCUUUUUCCCG
rnacentral:rRNA from 1 species